GGAUAAAAGAUUGAUGUAACAAUAAGGUAUGUGACAUGUAAAGAACUAAAGCAAGCUCAAUUUGGACGAUGAGGUCGUCAGAUAUGAAGUCUUACUUGUACAACAAAGAUGGAAUCUAGAGGAACAAGAAAUCUGUCUUACAUUCAGCAAAUAAUCAAUGUGGUACAAACGGAACUUGCUCAAUUUUUCAUCAAAGAAUGGAACUCUUGUUACAAAUCAACACAUGGAGAAUGGGAUGAUACCAAAAAUAGUGGCAAAAAAUUUUGCACUUUAGAAUCGGGUAGGAAGUUGGAUAAACAACUACAGUUAAAAUAUCAAGAUGGAGACACCAGUAAGUGGGACUGUACGAUAUUAUUUGAUGCUAUACUUUUUUCAAAUUCAAUUGGAAAGCAUCUUGACAAAAAAACAAAAGAUGCUGUUCAUGCUUUUCGUUGUGAAAGAAACAAGUACGCACAUUGGUAUAAAAGGGAAUGCUCAGAUGAUGAUUUUGAUGAUAUAGUCAAUAUCAUUGAAAAAUCAUUUCAAGAUUUGAAAUUUUCUCUCGAUGAAAUCAUUGAAAUAAAAAAUUAUCGAAACUGUUUUAAUUUGUUCCAAGUUUUUCCUUCAAAACCUAAUCAUUUUUUCGUUGAACGCACUGAAUUUCGAGAUAAAAUUAUAAAAGAUCUUGAAAAAUUGAGAAAUGAUAACAAUGAUAAACUGACAUAUUUUUAUAUCACUGGUAAUCCUGGCUGUGGUAAAUCGCAACUUGCAAGACAGGUUUG